AUUUUAUUUAUUUAUUUUCUCUUUUUUUUUCCUUCUUUCUCUUCUUUUCCACACAAGCUGCCGUCAUCUCUACCCAUCUAUCUUUGCCUAAUGCCAGCGCCAUCUCUGCCUCCGCCAUCUCCCCCCCACCGUCAGAAGCGGCCUCGUAUUGGCUCGAUGACGAAAAAAUCUCGGACAUAAAGUUAUCCUCUUAUUUUUUUUCGUGAUUUGAGUGAUGAUGUGGAUGUUUAUUGUUAAUCUAGAUUCGUUGAUUGACAAUAAUCUCAUUUUGAUUUCAGAGUGAAAAUUGACCAUUUGCUUCAAAUCUUAAAGUUUUCCCUUUUUUUUUUUUUUUUUUUUUUUUUUAUCUUUUCUUAGAUUCUCUACAUUAGGGUUUUGCGGGGAGCAUAUGAUGUUUUUUGGUUGUUUUCCUACAACAAUAUAGUUGUUUCUGUUAUUUUUUAA
rnacentral:lncRNA from 1 species